rnacentral:tRNA from 3 species
GCCACGGUGGUGGAACUGGUAGACACGCGGGUCUCAAAAACCCGUGAGCUUUAAAACUCGUGUCGGUUCAACUCCGACCCGUGGCA